GAUGAACGCUGGCGGCGUGCCUAAUACAUGCAAGUCGAGCGAACAGAUAAGGAGCUUGCUCCUUUGACGUUAGCGGCGGACGGGUGAGUAACACGUGGGUAACCUACCUAUAAGACUGGGAUAACUUCGGGAAACCGGAGCUAAUACCGGAUAACAUUUGGAACCGCAUGGUUCUAAAGUGAAAGAUGGUUUUGCUAUCACUUAUAGAUGGACCCGCGCCGUAUUAGCUAGUUGGUAAGGUAACGGCUUACCAAGGCUACGAUUCGUAACCGACCAGAGAGGGUGAUCGGCCACACUGGAACUGAGACACGGUCCAGACUCCUACGGGAGGCAGCAGUAGGGAAUCUUCCGCAAUGGGCGAAAGCCUGACGGAGCAACGCCGCGUGAGUGAUGAAGGGUUUCGGAUCGUAAAACUCUGUUAUUAGGGAAGAACAAACGUGUAAGUAACUGUGCACGUCUUGACGGUACCUAAUCAGAAAGCCACGGCUAACUACGUG
rnacentral:rRNA from 1 species